GGAACAUGAAGGAACCGUGCAGCUGCUGGAGUCUACCUUGAAUUCCAUGCAGGCCCGGGUUCGAGAGCUCGAGGAACAGUGCCGCAGCCAAACCUAGCAGUUCAGCCUCCUGGC